rfam:Dickeya dadantii 3937, complete genome.
ACUUCCCUGAGCCGGAACGAAAAGUGCGAAAGGUUGACUGACGUGCUUUUGGCUUGUGGUUGUGAUGUUGUGUUUGCUAUUUGUUUACUGUCUGCAUUUCAGACGCGGUAGCGAUGCUACCUUUCAUUUCCUGUACAUUUACCCUGUCUGUCUAAGUGAUUUUUGCAUAGCACCGCGUUUUGCGGUGCUUUUUUUU